UUAUCAUAACUCAGUACCACAUACCACAUGGUAAAGAAUAUCAAACUCCCAACCCAACCACAUAAGUGUUUCAGGGUAUACACUAUGCCAAUAUAUAAAAACACUCUUCAACAACAUGAAAUAUAUAUAAGCAGUACAAUAAGAGCUUUAGCAGUUAGGCUUAAGGAACAUAAAAAUGAUAUACAGGCAGCCAGAUUAACAAAUUGCAUUACCAAAGAAAGUCUACAAAUAUGACAUAAACAUCUUCUGGGAUCAAGCCAAAGUUGGAAACUAGUUAACAACAUAACACAAAUCAGAAUAACAGAGGCCAUAGUUAUCAGUUGCUACAGAAACAAAAAAUUUUUCAUACUUAAUGAUAAUCUUCCAUAUAACGUAUUGGUG
rnacentral:lncRNA from 1 species